rnacentral:rRNA from 1 species
UACGGAGGAUGCGAGCGUUAUCCGGAUUUAUUGGGUUUAAAGGGUGCGUAGGCGGGAUGCCAAGUCAGCGGUAAAAAUGCGGUGCUCAACGCCGUCGAGCCGUUGAAACUGGCGUUCUUGAGUGGGCGAGAAGUAUGCGGAAUGCGUGGUGUAGCGGUGAAAUGCAUAGAUAUCACGCAGAACUCCGAUUGCGAAGGUAGCAUACCGGCGCCCUACUGACGCUGAGGCACGAAAGCGUGGGUAUCGAACAGG